rnacentral:rRNA from 1 species
AGUGAACGCUGGCGGUAGGCCUAACACAUGCAAGUCGAACGGCAGCACAGAGGAGCUUGCUCCUUGGGUGGCGAGUGGCGGACGGGUGAGGAAUACAUCGGAAUCUACUCUGUCGUGGGGGAUAACGUAGGGAAACUUACGCUAAUACCGCAUACGACCUACGGGUGAAAGCAGGGGAUCUUCGGACCUUGCGCGAUUGAAUGAGCCGAUGUCGGAUUAGCUAGUUGGCGGGGUAAAGGCCCACCAAGGCGACGAUCCGUAGCUGGUCUGAGAGGAUGAUCAGCCACACUGGAACUGAGACACGGUCCAGACUCCUACGGGAGGCAGCAGUGGGGAAUAUUGGACAAAGGGCGCAAGCCUGAUCCAGCCAUACCGCGUGGGUGAAGAAGGCCUUCGGGUUGUAAAGCCCUUUUGUUGGGAAAGAAAUCCAGCCGGCUAAUACCUGGUUGGGAUGACGGUACCCAAAGAAUAAGCACCGGCUAACUUCGUG